UGAUGGGGUGGCCAUGCAACGAUUGGCUCGUACUAAGAUAGUCGUAAUAGAAUGGGCCAGCGCUAGUCUAAGAACAGGAUGUGAAAAUCCUCUGGGCUCCAUCCUGGGAGCUGCAUCUGUGACUGGCAUGCUAGAGUACUGUAGAGGGGGGAUGGGAAGUACCUGCGUGUAGCAGUGAAAUGCGUAGAUAUGCUGGAGGGAGCACCGAUGGCGAAGGCAAUCUCCCUGGACCUGUACUGACGCUCAUGCACGAAAGCGUGGGGAGCAAACAGGAUUAGAUACCCUGGUAGUGCACGCCCUAAACGAUGUCAACUGGUUGUUGGACGGCUUGCUGUUCAGUAACGAAGAUAACGCGUGAAGUUGACCGCCUGGGGAGUACGGCCGCAAGGCUGAAACUCAAAGGAAUUGACGGGGACCCGCACAAGCGGUGGAUGAUGUGGUUUAAUUUGAUGCAACGCGAAAAACCUUACCUACCCUUGACAUGCCAGGAACUUACCAGAGAUGGUUCGGUGCUCGAAAGAGAACCUGGACACAGGUGCUGCAUGGCCGUCGUCAGCUCGUGUCGUGAGAUGUUGGGUUAAGUCCCGCAACGAGCGCAACCCUUAUCAUUAGUUGUUACGCAAGGGCACUCUAAUGAGACUGCCGGUGACAAACCGGAGGAAGGUGGGGAUGACGUCAGGUCAUCAUGGCCCUUAUGGGUAGGGGUACACACGUCAUACAAUGGCCGGUACAGAGGGCUGCCAACCCGCGAGGGGGAGGUAAUCUCAGAAAACCGGUCGUAGUCCGGAUCGCAGUCUGCAACUCGACUGCGUGAAGUCGGAAUCGCUAGUAAUCGCGGAUCAGCUUGCCGCGGUGAAUACGUUCCCGGGUCUUGUACACACCGCCCGUCACACCAUGGGAGCGGGUUCUGCCAGAAGUAGUUAGCCUAACCGCAAGGAGGGCGAUUACCACGGCAGGGUUCGUGACUGGGGUGAAGUGUAACAAGGUAACC
rnacentral:rRNA from 1 species